rnacentral:snoRNA from 1 species
CUUCGUGAUGACAAAAGGCCUAGACGGCCUGAUUUUUUAAACCCAGCUCUUCGAAUGCCUCAUUAUACAACGCUCGAGUGCAUACUGAGACCAAAAAUCAUCUGACUCC